UUUGAUGGCUAUUAUUCCAUUGUUUCUCUGUCCUAUAUUUUCUCCCAUUUAUUUAUUGUAGCCCUGUCGUGUAAUGUUGUCAUUUUAAUGUUAUAAUUAAUACUACCAUUAAAGCGGGAGGUUUUGCAUGCCACAAAACCAGGUUCAACCCACCAUUUUUUUUCACAAAAUGCCCUGUACCAAGUCAGGAAAAUGGCCAUUGUUACAUUAUAGUUCGUUUCUG
rnacentral:lncRNA from 1 species